rnacentral:rRNA from 1 species
AUUGAACGCUGGCGGCGGGCCUAACACAUGCAAGUCGAACGGUAACAGGAAACAGCUUGCUGUUUCGCUGACGAGUGGCGGACGGGUGAGUAAUGUCUGGGAAACUGCCUGAUGGAGGGGGAUAACUACUGGAAACGGUAGCUAAUACCGCAUAACGUCGCAAGACCAAAGAGGGGGACCCUCGGGCCUCUUGCCAUCGGAUGUGCCCAGAUGGGAUUAGCUUGUUGGUGGGGUAACGGCUCACCAAGGCGACGAUCCCUAGCUGGUCUGAGAGGAUGACCAGCCACACUGGAACUGAGACACGGUCCAGACUCCUACGGGAGGCAGCAGUGGGGAAUAUUGCACAAUGGGCGCAAGCCUGAUGCAGCCAUGCCGCGUGUAUGAAGAAGGCCUUCGGGUUGUAAAGUACUUUCAGCGGGGAGGAAGGGAGUAAAGUUAAUACCUUUGCUCAUUGACGUUUCCCGCAGAAGAAGCACCGGCUAACUCCGUG